ACAGAGGGGGCAUGCGUUGCUCGGAAUCACUGGGCGUAAAGGGCGCGUAGGCGGGAUGGCAAGUCAGUCGUGAAAUCUCUCGGCUCAACCGAGAAACGUCGGCUGAUACUGCCGUUCUUGAGGGAUGCAGAGGAGACUGGAAUUCCCGGUGUAGCGGUGAAAUGUGUAGAUAUCUGGAGGAACACCAAUGGCGAAGGCAACUUCCUGGGGCAAUACUGACACUGAUGUGCGAAAGCGUGGGGAGCAAACAGGA
rnacentral:rRNA from 1 species